UUUCAAGUGUCAGCGGAAACAGGUGCAGCCACUAGCAAAUGAGUUUUGGCCCCGAUGGAGAAACAAGUAUCUCCACACUCUUCAGCCAAGGUGCAAGUGGCACACAGCACGUCGGAACCUGGAGGUUGGAGACAUAGUGCUGCUAAAACAGAGUCAAGCGCCUCGCAACGAGUGCCCAAUGGGUCUUGUCACCUCCACUCUCCCGAGCAGUGAUGGACAGGUCCGCAAAAUCGAGGUCAGGACAACAUCGCGUGACAAACUAAAGACAUUCUUGAGGCCUAUCUCUGAUGUUGUCUUGCUCUUGCCAAAAGAAAGUCAAAGUUCAAGUACGGACAAUUGAGUGGCACCAGUAAAUGCCAGACGGGGAGUGUUCUGUCCUGAGUGCGUUUAAAAUGCUAAAAAGACCAAGUUGACUGUUAAAAAUGUGUUUGUAUUGUUAUUCUCAGAAAAGAUUGUUGAGCUUUAUUUUGAAGGCUGGAAAGAUAGUGUAAACAGGAAGCGGGUAACAGGAAGUAGGAAGUAUAGAGGAGACCUGAAAACAGAGAAAGAACAUGGUGCAGUUGUAUAGUUUCUCAUGUUGAAUCCAGUGUAAUCCUGUAUAUGAAUCCCUCAGAAAGCAAUGGCUUUGGAGAGGUACAAACCAAAGCUGCUUCACUGAGAACACAAUAUGGAAAACUGCUCUGUCCAAAAGCAAGUGGAAGUGGUGACAAAGAGCUUACACCCAGGCAGAAAUGGAUAUUAAAGAACUUGGAGUUUCUGCGAUCAUUUGUGGUCCACAGAAUUUCUCAGACCACCCUGAAUGUCAGUAGGCUGUUACAACAGCUUCUAUGUGGUUACAACCUAUGAAACAAUGAAUGUUAUAGCCUACUACAUACAAUAAAGCAAAACUGUCUUUUAAAACUCAAAAUGAUAAACUGAAACUGCUUCA